CUCCUCACCAUGGUGAUUAUAGUUCACGUGCUCGGAGCCAAACUUGCCCACCGCUGGAGAGCUUUCAAUCUUGAAGGCUGCUUUCUCUCCUAUGUGCCUUAGGGACAAACCCAGAAGGAAGCUACUAAAUUUGCUUCAUCUGUCGGAUCCUCUCGCUACAUACGAGCAAGAAAGGCAAGCGUGAAGGCUCUGUUCUCCGGUUUCAAUACUCCUUCCAUGCAAUUGAAUAUUCGAAUUAACUUCAGCAGCGUGCGCUGAAGGAAGAUCUCAGGACUCCUCCACUGGAUGCCUAUAGAUUUGGCUUUAUGGAACAUGAAACAGGUAACAGGAAAGAGCCAGAGUGAGACAGUCCCUGAGGAAGACAAUGUAAUACCACCAAAUGGAGAAGUGAAAUAAACUGUACCUACUCUGAUGAAGUAUGCCAGGCUAGUAAUUAAAAGCAGGGGAGGAAUAACCUAAUUCCUUUCCCCAUCAAAUAUUCCUUUGGAACUGCUCACUCUGUAAUGGAUGUCUUCUUUCUUUGGGGGUGGGGGCAGAGCAGUGAGACCAAGGCCUGAAGAUAGAGAAAUUUACUACUACAUAUAGCAGAAAAUUACCUUUGCUGUGACAUCUGAUUUUACUAUUUUACUCACUAUUUCAUUAACAGUGCACAAUAUAAGAGUGAUCAAGUUUAUUAAAUUUAUUAGGAGGAAAAAUUAUAAUGAUGGGGAAUUUGUUUCCACUCUGAGACCACUGGUUGUCCUCAGUCUUCAGAAGGUACUCACACAGACUGAAGGGUUGAAAGCAGGGCUUUAUGCUCUGCAGGGAAGGACCCCUGGCUUACGUGGGCAGGCUCUCAAAUCCAAUUUGCACCCAAAUUGGCCAGUAGGAUUUACAAAGCCUCAUCCACGGACUUUCAACUUGCACAAUACUCUAUCCAGGAACCCUCCUCCCCCUCCAUUUCAGCUCCCAGCAGUUCUAAAAAGAAGUCAUUGCUGAUACAAAUAUAAGUCGAUGAGUAAACAGUGCAUAUUUUAUUAAACAAGCCUGAUCUAUAUGUGCAUCCUGGUAUACAUUCGAAUCUCACAACAUAGAGCAAUUAAAAUUAUUUAAAGGAAUUCAAACUUGCUUUCUUGAAAACUGCAUAUAACAAUUGCAUUUGUGAGGCUGAAGUUUAAGUAUUAACCCAUUUCUAUUAUCAUAAAAUGUAUUUUGA